AGGUCGAAGAUGAAAGGAAUGUGAAACUUGCUUCCAGGGGAAAAUCUGCGGCGCGAAUGCGUGUCCGCACCUCAGUCAUUUAAUUUUCAGAGGCUGCUUGAGGGGGGUUUUCCACCCCCUCGCUGCACGAAGGCAGCCCGCCAGUCGUGUUGAAGCCGAUUUUCCCUUUGCACGGGCCCGGACCGGUGAAGAGACGAGGCGGGUCAGCGUAUCUCCACCGUGGGCGACUCUGCCUCCAUUCCACUGCCCUCCGCCUGCCCGUGUGUGCCGAGCAAAACACGCACUCAUGAACCCUUGCAUUGUCAGGAGUUGUUGAAUCAUUUGCAGCGCCCAUCAUGUCUCUUCCCAAAGGAAAAUUGAAAAAUAAACCUAAUUUGAAAAUCUCCGAUGAAGUUUUCAAACAGCCAGUUACCAGCCCAACGAUAAGUGAAAUAUUGGAAAUGCAAUAGUGCUGGAAGCUCUAUGCAAUUACUAAAUACAACGUGAGGAGACGGAAGAAUGAUAAGACUGGGAGAAGAAUGAUAUGAACUGAUCUGCUAAUUCCAGGAAUAUUAGUAAGGUUUGGAUCAUUUGACCAUUUAUUUAAUAUAGCAUU